rnacentral:lncRNA from 1 species
GGGAAAGGCAGACCUACACUCAAUGUGGCUGGGUACCAUCUAGUCAGCUGCCAGCAUGGCUAGAAUAAAAGCAGGCAGAAGAAGGUGGAAAGAUUAGACUGGUUAAGUCUUCUGGCCUCCAUCUUUCUCCAUGCUGGAUGCUUCCUGCCCUGCCCUCGAACAUCGAACUCCAAGUUCUUCAGCUUUUGGACUCUUGGACUUACACCAGCGAUUUGCCAGGGGCUCUUGGGCCUUUGGCCACAGACUGAAGGCUGCACUGUUGUCUUCCCUACUUUGGGGGUUUUGGGACUCGGACUGGCUUCCUGGCUCCUCACCUUGCAGACAGCCUAUGGUGGGACUUCACCUUGUGAUCCUGGGCUUCCCUGGAGGAUCCAGUCUCAGCUGGUUGCUCCUCACAUGUGAUCCCUGCCUUGAAGCCUGGUUCCUGGAUGGAGGAACACAGCAUCUCUAUUGCUUCUCUGUUCUCAGAGCCACCACAGCACUUACCAAAAGCGGUAGGCGAUGUUUGCAUGUGAGGAUACACAUUCCCUAUAUUGGGAAACCGAGGAUGUGUCAAAGAUUGCCGAGUGACUGAUUCCCAAAACUUGGAGUAGAGAAAUUUUUUAAAAUUAAAAUUUGAAUUUUUAAUCUUAAGUACUGGUUUUAAUUUUUACCUAGUGAAUACCUUGAAUUAAACAUCCCUAUUUAACUAGUAGUCUAUUCCACUGCGCAUUAUUUACAAUAGACCAUUAAUGAAAACAACAGAUAUCCAAAUGAUGGGUGUAUCCAAAGAUGCCCUCAGAGGCAUAAAUUCUUGCAUUAUUAAAAACAUUACUUAAAAAACAUGAACUGAUAAUGUGACUGAAAACUUUAGAAAAAAAUAACAUUAAAAUAAUUUAUAUAAAAAAGUCUCCCAGGAUUAUUUGCAUGAUAUAAUACAUU